CCUACGGGGGGCAGUGGGGAAUAUUGGACAAUGGGCGAAAGCCUGAUCCAGCCAUGCCGCGUGUGUGAAGAAGGCCUUCGGGUUGUAAAGCACUUUCAGUGGGGAAGAAAGCCUUGGGGCUAAUACCCUCGAGGAAGGACAUCACCCACAGAAGAAGCACCGGCUAACUCCGUGCCAGCAGCCGCGGUAAUACGGAGGGUGCGAGCGUUAAUCGGAAUUACUGGGCGUAAAGCGCGCGUAGGCGGUCUGAUAAGCCGGUUGUGAAAGCCCCGGGCUCAACCUGGGAACGGCAUCCGGAACUGUCAGGCUAGAGUGCAGGAGAGGAAGGUAGAAUUCCCGGUGUAGCGGUGAAAUGCGUAGAGAUCGGGAGGAAUACCAGUGGCGAAGGCGGCCUUCUGGACUGACACUGACGCUGAGGUGCGAAAGCGUGGGUAGCAAACAGGAUUAGAUACCCCAGUAGUC
rnacentral:rRNA from 1 species